rnacentral:tRNA from 1 species
UCCUUGGUAGCUCAGCCAGUAGAGAAUCCACCUGCAGUGUGGGAAACCUAGGUUCAAUCCCUAGGUUGGGAA